rnacentral:misc_RNA from 1 species
UUAAAAUAAACGGACAAUCAUUUCAUUGAUGCGACUCGAGAAUAUAAAAAGAUGCAACAGCAAUAUGAUCAACGACACGAUAUCACCGCUGAUUGUUGUUACCAACAAUGGAUCUCUCAUCAUCAGAGCCAGCACGGUCAACCCGUGACGAAUUUACCGUCUCCGAUGCAACAAAUGGAAGCAUGUUUACAAUCGGCGGGAAGGGUGAAGCGAUCCCGCAGCCCGAAUCUGUCGAAGGGAUCGUUGACUGCCCAACCAACGAAUUCCACUCCCGUCUCCUCGUCGGCCGCCGUCGAGUCCCAGCGCAACGAUAGCAACAACAACAAUCAUCAUCACGGCGAUCAUCAUCCGACCGAGAACGGCGCGAAUUCGUCGGAGGAGAUUUGCUCGAAGAGGCCUCUUCACCCCGCCCUUGUAGGCGCCGGGGCCGCCCUCGAAGCGAAACCACUUUGGGAAGAGUUUCAUCAAUUGGGGACGGAAAUGAUCGUCACCAAGGCUGGAAGAAGGAUGUUUCCUACUUUCCAGUGUCGAUUCUUCGGAUUGGAUCCCGCCACCGAUUACCUCCUCGUCAUGGAUUUCGUACCCUGCGACGACAAGAGGUACAGAUACGCUUUCCACAGCAGCGCUUGGGUGGUUGCCGGCCGAGCCGAUCCGGUCUCGCCCCCGAGGAUUCACGUACACCCUGACAGCCCCGCGAGCGGAGCUCACUGGAUGAAGCAACCGGUCUCCUUCGAUAAGUUGAAACUCACCAACAAUCAGCUCGACGACAAUGGGCACAUAAUCUUGAAUUCGAUGCAUCGAUAUCAGCCACGAUGCCACGUAGUGGUGGCGCCCUCGCCACCGGGCUCUGCCCCGGAUCCACGGACCGAGAAUUUCAAAACGUUCACCUUUCCCGAGACGCGAUUCACCGCCGUCACCGCUUAUCAGAAUCAUCGUAUCACGCAGCUGAAGAUCGCGAGCAAUCCGUUCGCGAAAGGUUUUCGGGAUUGCGAGUCGGACGAGUGCGAGCCGGUCGCGGUUGUCCCGGGGAUGCAGAAUCCGGCGAAGAGGGCCGCGACAGGAAGUGGCAGCGUUUUGUCGUCCAACUACGUGAACGCUAUACCCACAGUGCAAAUUCCAAGCAUAUCAUCGGGCCAAGAGCAUCAUCAAUUUUACGGAGCAACCGCAGCCGGGCCUUGGCCAUACGCGGGACACCAUGGGCAACCGACUGCGCACAUGAAUUCCAUCCACUAUCCUCAUCAUUCUCAUCCUGGGCCGUCAUUGUACCACGGGCCACGGUAAUUCGGAUCAUCCUUCCUCCCUGAGAAUCGGAGAAUGACACGGUGAAAUUUGUGAAUCGUUGUGAUCGUAGUUCGAGUAGUGGAUAAAAAUAAUUAUCUAUUAAAUCGAAGAUGAAAAAGAAAGAAGGAGAAGAAGAAGGGGAAAGAAAGAAAGAAGGAAGCAAAAAGUUAUUAAAAUUGGAGAAAAUUAGUGGAGCGUUCGUUGAUUCGUCGAUACCAAAGUAACGUGAUAAUAACGUGUCAGGUGAUAGAAGAUAAGUUUUUACACUGAAGAAUGAAUGAAUUUAUACGAGUUAACUUAACGAGUUACGUUUAAAUAAGAUAUACGAAAUAAAUAAAUAAGAUACAUUCGUUCGAAUGUUUGUAUCAAAGAUAUAAUGUAAACUAGCCUUAAGGAUAUAGAGUUAUUUAAAUUAUACACGUAUGUAACGUAAGUGUCUUAUCAGUGUCGUAGGUCCGUAGCGAGUCAGUCGAAAAAGAAAGUGCCUUUUGUAGGAGCAAAGUGCAUCUAUUUAUACAGGGUGUCUGAAAUGCCAAACGAGCUUAAAACGCUCUCGAGCCAAGACGGGAAAGUAAACGCACCGUGACAACCCAUGAGAGAACUCGGCUAUUAAGUGCCUUAAUAAAUUAUUCGACAAGUAUCAUGUACCAUUGUGUUUCGAAACUUUUUUGCCUUGCUUAUGUUAAACAACAUAUUUAAAAAAAGAAAAA